rnacentral:rRNA from 1 species
UAGGGAAUCUUCCACAAUGGACGCAAGUCUGAUGGAGCAACGCCGCGUGAGUGAAGAAGGUCUUCGGAUCGUAAAGCUCUGUUGUUGGUGAAGAAGGAUAGAGGCAGUAACUGGUCUUUAUUUGACGGUAAUCAACCAGAAAGUCACGGCUAACUACGUGCCAGCAGCCGCGGUAAUACGUAGGUGGCAAGCGUUGUCCGGAUUUAUUGGGCGUAAAGCGAGCGCAGGCGGAAUGAUAAGUCNGAUGUGAAAGCCCACGGCUCACCGUGGAACUGCAUCGGAAACUGUCAUUCUUGAGUGCAGAAGAGGAGAGUGGAACUCCAUGUGUAGCGGUGGAAUGCGUAGAUAUAUGGAAGAACACCAGUGGCGAAGGCGGCUCUCUGGUCUGCAACUGACGCUGAGGCUCGAGGCAUGGGUAGCGAACAGGAUUAGAUACCC